rnacentral:rRNA from 1 species
CCUAUUAUUUAUUUUUUAAUUUUUUUUGAUUACUAUUAGCUAAGUUCUUUAAAAUUCAAAGAUUUUGGCGGUUAAUUAAUUCUUUUUAGAGGAACAUGUAUUUUAAUCGAUAAUCCACGAUAGUUUUUACCUUUAUUUAUACUUGUAUAUCUCUAUUGUUUAGAAAAUUUUAUUAAUAAUUUUCUUUAACUUUUUAAGAUUAAUUUUAGGUCAAGGUGCAGUUUUAUAAUGGAUUUUAUGUGUUACUUAAAUUUUAUAUAAUAUUUAUUUUUAAUUUUUUUUUUAGGAUUUAAUAGUAAAUUUAAUUAAUUAAUUAAUUUGAAUUAAGUUCUAAUUAA